GAUGAACGCUAGCGGCAGGCCUAACACAUGCAAGUCGAGGGGCAGCACAGGUAGCAAUACUGGGUGGCGACCGGCGGAUGGGUGCGUAACGCGUAUGCAACCUACCAUUGAUUGGGGCAUAGCCCGAAGAAAUUCGGAUUAAUACUCCAUAAUAUUCAUCAAAGGCAUCUUUUAUGAAUUAAAGCUUUUGCGAUCAAUGAUGGGCAUGCGUGACAUUAGUUAGUUGGUGAGGUAACGGCUCACCAAAACGAUGAUGUCUAGGGGUUCUGAGAGGAUUAUCCCCCACACUGGUACUGAGACACGGACCAGACUCCUACGGGAGGCAGCAGUGAGGAAUAUUGGUCAAUGGACGCAAGUCUGAACCAGCCAUGCCGCGUGCAGGAUGACGGCCCUAUGGGUUGUAAACUGCUUUUCCACGGGAAGAACCCUCCGACGUGUCGGUAGACUGACGGUACCGUGGGAAUAAGCAUCGGCUAACUCCGUG
rnacentral:rRNA from 1 species